AGUUUGAUCCUGGCUCAGAUUGAACGCUGGCGGCAGGCCUAACACAUGCAAGUCGAGCGGGGUUUUCGGACCUAGCGGCGGACGGGUGAGUAAUGCGUAGGAAGCUACCCGAUAGAGGGGGAUACCAGUUGGAAACGACUGUUAAUACCGCAUAAUGUCUACGGACCAAAGUGUGGGACCUUCGGGCCUCAUGCUAUCGGAUGCGCCUACGUGGGAUUAGCUAGUUGGUGAGGUAAUGGCUCACCAAGGCGGCGAUCUCUAGCUGGUUUGAGAGGAUGAUCAGCCACACUGGAACUGAGACACGGUCCAGACUCCUACGGGAGGCGGCAGUGGGGAAUAUUGGACAAUGGGCGCAAGCCUGAUCCAGCCAUGCCACGUGUGUGAAGAAGGCCUUCGGGUUGUAAAGCACUUUCAGCGAGGAGGAAGGGGUAGGUGUUAAUAGCAUCUACUUUUGACGUUACUCGCAGAAGAAGCACCGGCUAACUCUGUGCCAGCAGCCGCGGUAAUACAGAGGGUGCAAGCGUUAAUCGGAAUUACUGGGCGUAAAGCGCACGCAGGCGGUUGGUUAAGUCAGAUGUGAAAGCCCCGGGCUCAACCUGGGAAUUGCAUUUGA
rnacentral:rRNA from 1 species